rnacentral:piRNA from 1 species
UCUUUUGAGGUGCAUCAAGCCAAG